CUCUUCCUUCACUCGAUUUCCCUGAUCCCCUUCUCGCACAUUGCCUCCUCCCAUUCCUUCCCCCCUUACUCGCACGGAGGUGGCUGCAGGAGAUGCGUGGCAGAGGAGGUUCGUGCAGGGGGUGAUGGUGGUGGGAGUGGGGAGUAAGAAAGAGCAUGGAGGCGGCGGCGGCUAGGAAGAGCGUGUGCGUGACCAGCGCAGGAGGCUUCAUCGCCUCGUGGCUCAUCAAGCUCCUCCUCUCCAAGGGCCACUAAAUGGUCCGCGGAUCCGUCCAUCCCAGCCCCUCGAAGAUCCAACCUCAGCUCAUGCUCGCGCUGCUCCCACCCCACGACGCCGUCUGCGUCGAACUGAAAGCCCACGGAGGACCGGGACGAGGUCAGGGUGGAGAUGUGGAUCAUUUUCUUUGGAUCCCCAACUGAAGAGUUUGAAGGAGUUUCUGCAGAGCACCUAGAUGUCAAUGAAUGUGCGUAGAGUCCAGGCCCCUGCCAUGGCUCUGCAACUUGCCACAACACAGUUGGAGGGUUCCAUUGUUCAUGCCCUUUUGUCACCAGUUUUGCUAAGGAAACAAACUCCUGCGCCAAUCAGUUUAUAAGUCAGGAGUUGAGCAGGGCACAAUCUGUGGCAGGACCGCAUUCUCCCACUCCUUUGUCUCAAAGCAAAAGAAGCUCGCUGCCUUUGCCUGGAGAGAGCAGAAGUUUCUUUUAUCUAAUCCAAGAUGAUCUAUUCAUGAUUAAAACAGCGAGGAAAUCAGAAGUCGAGGUAAGUGCGGGAUGGAUGAAACUGCUCAGUACCGUCUAAUCUGGCAAUCUGGAUUAUGAUCGGUUCAACUAUUUUGUGGUUCCAGUUCUACUAAUUGAAGCCGGUGAGUUGGUGUAUGCUUGACGUGAGUCUGGUUCUCGCUUCAAUUCCCCCUGUUUCACCUCCAGAUCUACUCAUCGGGAGAUGGAUUCCUUGCAGUGAGAGGCUGGUCUGACGCUGUUGUUGAUAAUCAUCCAUACCUAUUCUGGACAUGGACGAAGUACACACAUGUACACACAGCUUUUUUUGAUCCGUUGCAUAUCAAAGCUUCAUUCAGACGAUGGACUGUCUUGCUCUACUUCGAAAUCAAAACAGGUGAGUCGUGUCCUUUUUAGGAUUUAACCAACUGAACUGAAACCAAGAUACAGUUGCUGCAGCACUUAUGAGCAAAUUGUACAGGGGAAAAACAGGCGGCUGAUGCAGAACAAGGGAAGGAGUAGCAGCUAUCUGCUGUUUCAGUUGUUUAUGUGCGCUGAAGAUUGUUCAUACCCGUACCCUGAAGAAAGAAG